rnacentral:rRNA from 1 species
CACUCCUGCGGGAGGCAGCAGUGGGGAAUAUUGCACAAUGGGCGCAAGCCUGAUGCAGCCAUGCCGCGUGUAUGAAGAAGGCCUUCGGGUUGUAAAGUACUUUCAGCGGGGAGGAAGGCGAUAAGGUUAAUAACCUUGUCGAUUGACGUUACCCGCAGAAGAAGCACCGGCUAACUCCGUGCCAGCAGCCGCGGUAAUACGGAGGGUGCAAGCGUUAAUCGGAAUUACUGGGCGUAAAGCGCACGCAGGCGGUCUGUCAAGUCGGAUGUGAAAUCCCCAGGCUCAACCUGGGAACUGCAUUCGAAACUGGCAGGCUAGAGUCUUGUAGAGGGGGGUAGAAUUCCAGGUGUAGCGGUGAAAUGCGUAGAGAUCUGGAGGAAUACCGGUGGCGAAGGCGGCCCCCUGGACAAAGACUGACGCUCAGGUGCGAAAGCGUGGGGAGCAAACAGGAUUAGAUACCCCAGUAGUCCCAU